rnacentral:rRNA from 1 species
AACCGAUAAACGUUGAAAAGUUUCCGGAUGACCUGUGGGUAGGGGUGAAAGGCCAAUCAAACUGGGAAAUAGCUCGUACUCCCCGAAAUGCAUUUAGGUGCAGCGUUGCGGUAGAGUCAUAUAGAGGUAGAGCUACUGAUUGGACUAGGGGGCUUCACCGCCUACCAAAUCCUGACAAACUCCGAAUGCUAUAUGAUAUACGCAGCAGUGAGGGCAUGGGUGCUAAGGUCCAUGUCCGAGAGGGAAAGAACCCAGACCAUCAGCUAAGGUCCCCAAAUGUACACUAAGUUGGAUAAACGUUGUUCGGUUGCAUUGACAGCUAGGAUGUUGGCUUGGAAGCAGCCAUUCAUUUAAAGAGUGCGUAACAGCUCACUAGUCGAGCGAUCGAGCGUGGAUAAUAAGCGGGCAUUAAGUGUACUACCGAAGCUAUGGAUUCUCCGUACAUACGGAGUCUGGUAGGGGAG